AAAUAAGAAGCAAUAUCCAUGCAUUUAAUUUCGACUUAAAAGAUAGAGUAAAUACUCCUUAUUUA
rnacentral:tRNA from 1 species